rnacentral:lncRNA from 1 species
GUAACAUGCUUAUUGGGAAAUAAAUCUUCGACUUUACCUAGGGAUAUAGUUGGGAUGCCCUCCAGAGUGGAAGAAUUAGAAAACCAUCUGAAUUUGGACUCAAAUGAUGAUGAUGUUCGAGUAAUAGGGAUUUGUGGAAUGGGUGGAAUAGGAAAGACGACUCUUGCUACUGCUUUGUAUGCUAGAAUCUCUAAUCAAUUUGAUGCUUGCUGCUUUAUUGAUGAUGUAAGUAAAAUUUAUGGAGAUCAUGGCCCAAUUGGAGUACAAAAGCAACUUCUGCGUCAAACUCUAAAUGAAGAAAAUCUUCAAAUAUGCAAUCUUCCUAUGGCUUCUAAUUUGAUUCGAACUAGGCUAUCUCGAAAAUUUAUGGAGAUCAUGGCCCAAUUGGAGUACAAAAGCAACUUCUGCGUCAAACUCUAAAUGAAGAAAAUCUUCAAAUAUGCAAUCUUCCUAUGGCUUCUAAUUUGAUUCGAACUAGGCUAUCUCGAUUAAAAUCCCUUGUUUUUCUUGAUAAUGUGGAUGAAGUUGAACAACUGGAUAAAUUGGAUAUGAGACUAGAAUGGCUAGGCAGAGGGAGUAGAAUAAUCAUAAUUUCUAGAAAUGGGCACAUCUUGACAGAGUAUGGAGUAGAUGAAGUAUACAGAGUUCGACUCUUGGAUCGUAAAUGUGCCCUUCAAUUGUUUUGCCAGAAAGCUUUCAAAAGUGAUGACAUCAUGAGUGGUUACAUAUACUUGACAAAAGAAGUACUAGCAUAUGCCAAUGGCCUUCCACUCGCAAUUAAAGUGUUGGGCUCGUUUCUGUAUGGUCGAGAUGUGUCUGAGUGGAGAAGUGCAUUGUCAAGAUUAAGAGAGAACCCAAGGACAGAUAUUAUGAAUGGACUCCGAAUUAGUUUUGAUGGACUAGAGGAUACAGAAAAGGACAUAUUUCUUGAUAUUGCUUGUUUCUUUCAUGGAUACGGGAAGGGAUACGUGAAGAAAAUUUUAGAUUUUCGUGGAUUUCAUCCUGAUAUUGGUUUAAAAGUUCUCGUUGAUAAAUCAUUCAUAACUUACGAGAAACAGAUAAUUUGCAUGCAUGAUUUGUUUAGAGAACUGGGAAAGAGUAUCGUUAGAGAAAAAUCACCCAAAGAACCAAGAAAGUGGAACAGGUUGUGGGACUACAAAGACGUCCACAAUGUUAUCUCAGAAAACAUGGUAACAUAGUUAUUGAAAUAAAACAAUUGCUUGCCAUUUUUUCCACAAUCGAUUAAUAAAUUUGAAGUAUCUAUACUCUUUAAU